UACGGAGGGUGCGAGCGUUGUCCGGAAUCAUUGGGCGUAAAGGGCGCGUAGGUGGCCCGGUCAGCGUGCGGUGAAAGCUCGGGGCUCAACCCCGAGUCGGCCGUGCGAACUGCUGGGCUGGAGCACUGUAGAGGCAGGCGGAAUUCCGGGUGUAGCGGUGGAAUGCGUAGAGAUCCGGAAGAACACCGGUGGCGAAGGCGGCCUGCUGGGCAGUGGCUGGACACUGAGGCGCGACAGCGUGGGGAGCAAACAGG
rnacentral:rRNA from 1 species